rnacentral:sRNA from 1 species
UAUUCUGCCCCAUGGGGAAGGAUGAGAAGCUUCGACUAAGGUUCGACUCGAGCGCCAGCGAGAGAACGUUGCCAC